AGUGUAAUCAAUACCAAAGUAAAGGUUGAGAAAGAAUUCAUAAUGAUCUGCGAUGGGAGAAGAUUUUGUAAAUGAAAAAAAUGUAGUGGCUGCUUGGGAUUAACUGCCGGAGUUGCUGGAAACCGUACAGCUGUUUUUCCGCAUACAGUUUUCUGCAUGAUACUCUGGGAGAGCAUGAUAGGCAUGAGGAAAAGAAAAGGAGGACUUGGUACUUUUUUCAGGAGUGGAAGGAGUGGGAAGUGGAGUAAGAG